rnacentral:rRNA from 1 species
CACGUAGGGUGCGAGCGUUGUCCGGAAUUAUUGGGCGUAAAGAGCUCGUAGGCGGUGUGUCGCGUCGGCCGUGAAAACCUGCAGCUUAACUGUGGGCUUGCGGUCGAUACGGGCAUCACUGGAGUUCGGCAGGGGAGACUGGAAUUCCUGGUGUAGCGGUGAAAUGCGCAGAUAUCAGGAGGGACACCGGUGGCGAAGGCGGGUCUCUGGGCCGAUACUGACGCUGAGGAGCGAAAGCGUGGGGAGCGAACAGG